AACGAACGCUGGCGGCAUGCCUAACACAUGCAAGUCGAACGAGAUCUUCGGGUCUAGUGGCGCACGGGUGCGUAACGCGUGGGAAUCUGCCCUUUGGUUCGGAAUAACAGUUGGAAACGACUGCUAAUACCGGAUGAUGACGAAAUGCCACAGAUUUAUCGCCAGAGGAUGAGCCCGCGUAGGAUUAGCUAGUUGGGGUGGUAAAGGCGCACCAAGGCGACGAUCCUUAGCUGGUCUGAGAGGAUGAUCAGCCACACGGGGACUGAGACACGGCCCAGACUCAUACGGGAGGCAGCAGUGGGGAAUAUUGGACAAUGGGCGAAAGCCUGAACCAGCAAUGCCGCGUGAGUGAUGAAGGCCUUAGGGUUGUAAAGCUCUUUUACCCGGGAUGAUAAUGACAGUACCGGGAGAAUAAGCUCCGGCUAACUCCGUGCCAGCCGCCGCAGUAA
rnacentral:rRNA from 1 species